GGAUUACGUUCUUUUUAUUUUACGCUAAUUACAGGUUGAGGUCUGCAGGAGCAGUUCUUGUAGCAAAGCUUGUUUCUGGAUCACUGGCUUAUGAUGACAUCUGGUUUGGAGGUAGAACGAGAAACCCUUGGAACAUUGAGGAAUUUUCAACAGGUUCAUCGGCAGGGCCCGCUGCCGGCACCUCAGCUGGUAUGGUUCCGUUUGCAAUUGGUUCAGAAACAGCUGGCUCAAUCACAUUCCCUGCAUCUCGUUGUGGUGUGACGGCACUGCGUCCAACUUUUGGUGCCGUUGGUCGAACCGGUGUAAUGAGCAUAUCAGAAAGCAUGGAUAAGCUUGGUGCUUUCUGCAGAAGCGCUGCAGAUUGUUCAGUCAUUCUUGAUGUUGUUCGGGGGAAGGAUCCAGAUGAUCUCUCAUCAAGAGACAUUGCUUUUGAUGAUCCAUUUUCCAUCGACAUUACGCAGCUUACGGUUGGAUAUAUGGAUGAUGCUGAAAUGGAGGUUGUUCAUGUGCUCAAGGCAAAAGGUGUUAAUAUGGUUCCUUUCAAAUUGAAUUACACUGUUGACUCUGUUCAAGGCAUAUUAAAUUUCACGAUGGACGUUGAAAUGUUGGCU
rnacentral:misc_RNA from 1 species